rnacentral:lncRNA from 1 species
AGCCUUGAACUUGAGUUUCUGGGACUGACUCCCAGCAUCUGGCACCUUCUUAUUCUUCUUGUUUUUUCCUUUCUUAAAAGGAUGAUGACUGCCCAAAGAAGAUUCUCUCACUAGAUUUACUGUCUCCUUGUGGAGCUAGUGAUCUUUCUCAGAAGUCUGUAGCAACCCCAACAGACCUUGAUAGUUGACUACAGACUUUGUCAUUCUGAAAUGACUGAGAAAUGACAAGUAGGACUUGAGAAGAGAGUUCAGGAUCGCAUCUUUCCCCAGCUAUUCAUGCAAAGGAAAGUCGAGUUUGCUUAAUUUUUCAAUCUGCUCGAUCAUGUAUAAUACAUGAUCGAUAACAGAUGCACCCUCCCUCAUCUGAGCAUUGAAAAUGGCGUAACUAGUCUUGUACCACUCAACAUCGUCAGGAGUACCAAAGGAAUCCCUCAACACUUGAAGCAUUUUCUCUGACUGAGCUUCUUCAAACUUCCAACUAAACUCGUCGUUCAUGGAGGCCCACAUGAUGCAAUGAACCAUGGUGUGGUCAUUGAACCAUUUCAAAUAAGUAUCUC